rnacentral:rRNA from 1 species
GUGCCAGCCGCCGCGGUAAUACCGGCAGCCCGAGUGAUGGCCGCUCUUAUUGGGCCUAAAGCGUCCGUAGCUGGCUGCGCAAGUCCGUCGGGAAAUCCACUCGCCCAACGAGUGGGCGUCCGACGGAAACUGCACAGCUUGGGACCGGAAGGCUCGAAGGGUACGUUCGGGGUAGGAGUGAAAUCCCAUAAUCCCGCACGGACCGCCGGUGGCGAAAGCACCUCGAGAAAACGGACCCGACAGUGAGGGACGAAAGCUAGGGUCUCGAACCGGAUUAGAAACCCUAGUAGUCC